ACGAACGCUGGCGGCGUGCCUAAUACAUGCAAGUCGAACGGUCUUUCUAUGGAAGCUUGCUUCCACUGAGAAGAUAGUGGCGAACGGGUGAGUAACACGUGGGUAACCUGCCCAUAAGAGGGGGGAUAACAUCCGGAAACGGGUGCUAAUACCGCAUAGUUUUCUUGAUCGCAUGAUCGGGAAAGGAAAGACGGCCUUUGUGCUGUCGCUUAUGGAUGGACCCGCGGCGUAUUAGUUAGUUGGUGAGGUAACGGCUCACCAAGACGAUGAUACGUAGCCGACCUGAGAGGGUGAUCGGCCACAUUGGGACUGAGACACGGCCCAAACUCCUACGGGAGGCAGCAGUAGGGAAUCUUCCGCAAUGGACGAAAGUCUGACGGAGCAACGCCGCGUGAGUGAAGAAGGUUUUUCCGGAUCGUAAAACUCUGUUGUCAGAGAAGAACAAGUUGGAGAGUAACUGCUCCAGCCUUGACGGUAUCUGACCAGAAAGCCACGGCUAACUACGUGCCAGCCGCAGC
rnacentral:rRNA from 1 species